rnacentral:lncRNA from 1 species
UUGAAUUUAAUUUGAUUUUGAUACCCGAAUUCAUCUGUAUUUUUGUGCUUCAAAAGAAACAUUUUUUUAUGCACAAAUAACAAUCCUUCUAAGGAGUGAAAUUAAGUGACAGAUUUUGAUGCUUUUCAAUCCCACGUGCGAAAUUAGUUCCUUCAGGCGUCCAAAUUUGUUGCUCUCCCAUCCAUGUGCACAUGCUCUUCUACUUCUUCUUCUUCUUCAAAGUAUAUGGUUUUGCAAAUACAAUUAAGAACAUUAUUUCUACUUCAAGCAAAAGUAUUGACAACCAAGUUUGGAUGUUCUAUAAAUAACUUUUCUUUUCUUUUUUUUCUUUUUUUUUUUGUCUCGGAAGAGUUUUUUUAUGUAUCAAUGUUGAAGUAUAGAAACACAAUCAUUAUUCGAUCUCGUGAUAGUCAAUCUUGAUAUCUAUUUCCAAAGCCAAUUUAAAGUUUGGGCAGACAAUUUUUUUUUUUCAUAUCACCUACGUCCCUAACAUCAUCAAAACAUUUUUCCUCCCUUUUUCUUUGACUUGUUUUUUUUCUUUUAGCUUGUUAUGGUGCACUUCAAAGACCAUAAGGAGUAUCAACCAUCUAUAGUUAACCAUCGAAGUUGAAGGUGUACGCCAGGAAGGAAGAGCAAGUUGUCUUCUAGAUUUUUUUGAAAACAUCGACAAAUAUUGGGCAUGGAACAAAGACGUGAUAUAUCAUUCCUCCAAGACUUUCGCGAUGGUUAAAGCAUAUAAUUUUCGAGUUGAGAUCAAUUUCGAUUUGUCAACAUCAACAUGGAAGGACGGAGAUUUGUUUCGAUAUUUUUUUCAACAUCAACAUAACAAGGUGGAGAUUAGUUUUAAUUUUCAACAUUAACAUGGCGAGACGGGGAUCAGUUUCAAUUUUCUUUUAACCACCAACAUGGCGAAGAUUAGUUUCAAUUUUUUUCAUCAACAUGGUGAAGUGGAGAUCAAUUCCGAUUUUUUUUACCACCAACAUGACAAGGUGGAGUUCAGUUCUGAUUUUUUUCAACAUCAACACGACGAGGCAGAGAUUAGUUCCGGGUUUUUUUCAACACUAAUGUGGCAAGGCAAAGAUCAAUUCCGAUUUUUUUAACACCAAUAUGGCAAGAUGGAGAUCAGUUCCAAUUCUUGCCUCUCUUUCAAAGGAUAGUUAUUUUCUUGCCUAUCUUUCACAGUGAUUUUCCCUUUACUUCUAUCUUGAGAUGGAGAAGGUGUUGCUUCGUAAGACUGGUUAGAUUUUGAAAAUACCUUAAGAGACUUAAGAGUUUACGACUAUAGAUUGUUCGUUUCUCCUUUAUUAGGAAUGGUCUUGCCCCAUUUGUGAGUUUCUCUCUUUGCCCCUUUUGGCUCUUGGAUAAAAGGCUCUAGAUUUCUAGAAAUUGUCAUAACUCCAUAUCAUCAGCUCGAGUGGCUAACUUUUUAAAGGCCUUUGACUUAAUGCCUUGAAGAAGGUAGCGCAAUCCCUGGUUCACUCCUUAGAUGCACAUGUCGAUGGCUGGUAGAGCUGAUCAUGGGCCGGGUUAGGUCGGGCCCAAACAAAAUUCUAGGCACGGGCCCAGUCCGAGUUGAAAUAUGAGCCUAAAAAAUUAUCCAAACCCGGCCUAAAAUAAAAUUUCUAAGCUUGAGCUCAACCCGACCCGACCUAUAUUAAAUUAUUUUUAACUUAUUUUAUUAAAUAAUUUUUUUUAAAAUAUAAUAAAUCAAAUACAUUUAAAAGCAUAAAUGAUACUAAAACAAUUCUUAAAACAAUUUUAAACGGGCCUCGUUUUUUUGUCAAAGCCCAUUUUUCGGAUCUAUAUUUUUGCUCGAACCCUCCUAUUUUUCUGGCGGGCCUUUAGGCCGAGCACAUGAUCAGGUCUAAUUGCUAAAGAUUCUGACAAUCUUUCCUUGCAGUUCAAACCCAGAUUCCUCCAGUGAUGAAUGUAGUUAGUGGCAAGUUCAUCUUUCCAUUGUCUUGCACCAAUAAGCUCAAUCAUGCUAACAAUGCGGUGAGUGAUAUAGAAUUUGUUGAAAAAUUCACAUUCAAGUUGUUCCUGGCUAUCGAUUGUUCUAGGAUCAAGGUAAGUUUACCAAUUGAAGGCAUUUCCUUUUAGUGAUCGGACUAAUUGCUUCACCAUGAGAUCACCAUCAGUUUUGACGUUAUGACAAGUCUCCAUGAAACAAGCAACAUGUUGGUGUGGAUUCCCUUUGCCGUCAAACUAUUGGAAUUUGGAAAGUUGAUAGCUUGUUAGCAUUUUGAGGCGAUCAAUCUUGUAACAGCCUGUUUUUAGGGUUAAUCAGAACAGUAGUUUUGGGACCACUAUAUAAAUUAAAAAUAUUUAUUUUAUUAUUUUAUUAAGGUUUACAGUAUGAUAGAAUGUUCGUGUGAAAAUUUCGUAAAGAAAUUUUAUCGUUUGAGUGGUUAAUUCGGUAAAAAGGACUAAAUUACGUAAAGCGUAAAACUUGCAUUCUAUUAGCUAAAAGAGUGAAAUAGCUAUAGAACACUAAAGUAAAAGUCCUUAUGUGUUUAUUAAUCCACUAAUUAGUUAGUGGAAGAUUUGGUUUGGUAUUGUUGUAAAUUGUUUUAAAUUGGAA